rnacentral:rRNA from 1 species
UACGGAGGAUCCGAGCGUUAUCCGGAUUUAUUGGGUUUAAAGGGAGCGUAGGUGGAUUGUUAAGUCAGCGGUAAAAUUGCGGGGCUCAACCCCGUCGAGCCGUUGAAACUGGCAGACUUGAGUUGGCGAGAAGUAUGCGGAAUGCGCGGUGUAGCGGUGAAAUGCAUAGAUAUCACGCAGAACCCCGAUUGCGAAGGCAGCAUGCCGGCUUCCGACUGACGCUGAAGCACGAAAGCGUGGGGAUCGAACAGG